CUUGGGAUGAAGCUCAGUGGAAGAGUGCUUGUCUAGUGUGCAUGAUGCCCUGUGUUCAAUCCCCAACCCUGAGA
rnacentral:tRNA from 1 species